rnacentral:lncRNA from 1 species
UCGAGAUCCCAGCGACUAGGGUCUUACUCGCCUGACUAGCCCUCUGGGCGCCUGGUGGUUAGGAGCCGCCAGUUCUAUGGCUCUGGUCCGUGGCCCAGCUUGAUGGGUGUGUGGUCAAUCUGUCACCACUGGAGCGACUCAAUUCCAGCAGUCCUUAAGAGCUAUUUUGAGUAAACUCUGGGUUUUCGUGACUCAGCUCGGUGAGCGGCGCUAUUUAUAGGUAGAUGAGUUAAGAGCGGGGAAAUACGCUUCGAUAGGAUCGGUCCGCCCUAUUAUAGCAAAGAUCUCUACUAAGAAGCAACAAUUUAAAGUCUUAGGAAAGAAAAAUACUUGGUUCUUAGAAUCUGUGUUGUAAGGAGAAGACUUAGAACAGUGAAAGUGGAACAUUUCCCGGAGUAAAUGGAGAAUUUGGGGACUGUCAUGACCAUUAACUGGCUUUUCGGUGUAGGUUACUGAUUCUCCUAGACACCUGCAACAUAGAAUGCCCAUAUUAGAAUGAUAAAAGGGGAAACUAAAUGCUGGCAAAGUCCCUGCACUAUAUUCUGUAACAGGAAGGGAUGUGUGAUAUUUAUCUAGUGUCAAAAGUCUGGUCUGGUGGGAAUUUUAUGUUUAUCACCCAAUUUCUUCCAAGAAAGUAAACAAAAACGUGUGCUUUUCUUCCCUAGUGUGUAAAUGUGCCACUAGUAUGUUAUUGCUUGUUGGGGUGUUAUGAUUUUAAUUUUCACAUUCCCACAUUCCUUCAGCCUCCACUUUAGAAAUCCAAGAGGCAUAUGCUAUGAGAAAGAUUGUGAGGUUGUCUGUCGGGUGGGAAGAGUUGAGUGAGCUCUCCUAGCCGCUGUAGCUUUCCAUAGGUAGUGUCACCUGGGGUGUCUCUUGAAAGAAAGAUGGUGACUUCCUGGGUGGUUAGGUCAGCUAAGAAUAAAAGUGUCCAAAAGACUACAGAGUACACACACUGGGGCCUGCAAGAUAGAUGUGCGUACUGUUCUGUAGGCCAUCCGUCCUGCUACCCGAAAAUAAAGAGAAACUUGCUGCUUCCUUCAUAAGACCAAAAAGAGCCAGGCAUGAUGCUUAGUGCCUGUAAUCCACUCGGGAGGCUGAGGCAAGAGGACUACUGUGAUCUCAAGACCAGCAUGCAAUACAGACUAUGACUGUCUCAAAAACAAUGGGACUGGAAAGACUUCCACUCUUAGUGGAAAAGAAAGCAUAAGAGUUGCAUGUACUUUUCCCAUUUUCACAGUAAAUACUAAGUCAACAGUUACCAGGUAAAUGAUUGGCUUAAUAUAUCUAGAGAACUAAAAAUAACACUCAUAUCAAGGUAAAUAAAAUGUUCUUUAUAACCUGGUAUCUUUUACA